UACGGGGGGAGCAAGCGUUGUUCGGAUUUACUGGGCGUAAAGGGCGCGUAGGCGGCCACCGCAAGUCGGUUGUGAAAUCUCCGGGCUUAACCCGGAAAGGUCAAUCGAUACUGCGGGGCUAGAGUGCAGAAGGGGCAACUGGAAUUCUCGGUGUAGCGGUGAAAUGCGUAGAUAUCGAGAGGAACACCUGCGGCGAAGGCGGGUUGCUGGGCUGACACUGACGCUGAAGUGCGAAAGCUAGGGGAGCGAACGGG
rnacentral:rRNA from 1 species